rfam:Populus trichocarpa isolate Nisqually-1 chromosome 15, whole genome shotgun sequence.
ACCUAUUUAACUCAGUAGUUAGAUUAUUGCUUUCAUACAAUGGGAGUCAUUGGUUCAAAUCCAAUAGUAGAUA